UACUCUUCCAUUUUUCUUCAACUUCUCUCUCCUCUCCAUAGUUGAUUCAUUCCUUCGCUCCAUUUUGUAUUGAUAAUGGAUAAUUUGGUAAUGUUUUGAAGUUGAUGAAUAAGUACUUCGCUCCAAAUAAGGGAGACUCUGAUUAUGAAAUCACUAUUCAAAGUUGCUGCAUGAGUUCUACACCUUGCAUCACAUUCACCAAUUCAAGAGCUAUGUUAUUUAGCACUACUAGACAAUAUUAGCACAAUUCUCUAUUUAGUUAUGGAAUAGGUGAAACCGAAAUAAGUGUUGAUGAUACUGAUGCCAAAUUGCCAAUCUUAUUCCUCAGUUGGUGGAGAAGCUUGCAAUACCCAGUCUUCAUAACCAGUUAGCUAAUUGUUGGGAUAUGCUUAGCACCAGUGAAACAGAGUGUGCUGUCUCUGCCAUGCGAUUAGUGUUGAGAUAUGGCCCCUUUUCUGGCUCAGCCCUCAGCAAUCUGGUUGCUGUACUUCGUGAUCGUCUAGCUGAUGUUGUGGCUAAUUUGAAGAGUAAUAGUUGGUUCUUUUUCUUUAGUGUAUCCUUGGUUGGAAACAUUAAGUUCCAUAAUGUUCACAGUUUGAAGUAAAUAGAAGCAAUUAUAGCUCAAGGGAAUGGUGAAAAGAUGCGUGAGGAAGAACUCAUGUUUGUCCAUCAUGAUUCAUUGUGCUUGCACAUGACCGAACAUGGAUAGAAAGACAAACUUUAAAGCUUAAUUACAGAGAAUUCUACGAAAGAUAAGCCUGAACCAAAAGCUUUUGCGGAGAAUACUGUUCAUAAAGAGGUGCCAGAAUGAACAAAUUGUCUGAAAAGGUGUUUGACGUUUGUCUAUGUAAUGGAGUUGAUUUCCUUGUGUAACCCGCAUUAACAAAUUUUAUGUGAACUCUUUUUUUUUGUCCAAGUAUUCAUUAUUCCCAAUGAAACCAGCUACUGGAUUUCACAUUGUUGAAACUUUUGCUGUAGGUAAUAGAAUGCAACUAAAUAAUCGUAUGACUGGUCAUG